rnacentral:rRNA from 1 species
ACCGAAUGAGGCAACUCAUUCACGGCCCGCUGAAUGCAUAGGCGGGUGCGAGCGAACGCAGGGAACUGAAACAUCUCACGUACCUGCAGGAACAGAAAGAGAAAUCGAUUCCGUCAGUAGUGGCGAGCGAACGCGGAAGAGCCCAAACCAGGGGUAACCCUGGGGUUGCGGGCCUCAAUAUGGGAGCCGAGUGGUUACUUGAACUGCCUGGAAUGGCGGGCCAUAGAAGGUGAAAGCCCUGUAAAGAAAAACCGCAAAGCCCCUAGAGGUACCAGAGUAGCGCGAGGCUCGUGAAACCUCGUGUGAAUCCGGGCGGACCACCGCCCAAGGCUAAAUACUCCUGUACGACCGAUAGCGAACCAGUAGGGCGAUUGAACGUUGAAAAGCACCGCGACGAGCGGAGUCAAAAGCACCUGAACCCGUAUACCUACAGUCCGUGGAAGGGCGGAUCCCGAAAGGGUGGCCUGACCGCGUACCUUUUGCAUAAUGGGCCGACGAGUUAUUGUUCACGGCAAGCCUAAGGUCUUAAGGACCGGAGGCGAAGGGAAACCGAGGCUGAACAGGCCGAUUAAGUCGUGAGCUUUAGACCCGAAACCACGUGAUCUA